ensembl:lncRNA
UUCAACUGAAUUCUUUUUCUGUCUGCGAUUUUGCUUAUGGUCUUGAUUUAUUUAUUGAGGAAUGAUUUCUUCUUUGCAGUUAUCAGUUUUGUCUGAGAUCAGUUUUCCUAUUGUAUGGAGUCUGUUUCUUUCAGAGCCUCCUUUAAGACUGCUUUGACUUUAAAAUCAUUACUAGGCUUUUGUCAGAGCAGAUUUGUUGACACUCUUUUCACAUUAAAAAAUAAAUUUAUAAGAUUGCACAAAUAGGCUAUGUAUUUCACUAUUUCCUGCUAAUAUGCAAAAAAUGUAUUUAUGAUAAUUACAUGUACUGUAUGCCAGAACUGAAACAAUGCAUUCCUCAUAAUGGAGCAUAAAUAAAGAAGGUGGAGCCAGCUGCUCUUAAACUGUUGAUUUGCAGCAGUAAUGCUAUAGAGAAUAUACCUUUUUCACUCUGUGAGUCUGGCAAUACUGAACCUGUUGCUGCAUUAGACGAGUUGCAUUUUGCUGGAUAGGGGAAGGAAGGCUGUCUGCUGUCUGGUAGGAGGGCUUUGUCUGUGCCUUUCUCUCUCUGUUUCUUUCUGUUUUUCUUUCUCUCUCUCUCUCCUCUUCUCUCUCUCUCACUCGCUUGCUCUGUCUCUGUCUCUCUCUCCCUCUCUGCCCCCCCUCCCUCCCUCUCUCUUGCUCUCUCUCUCUCUUCCCGUCUCUGUGGUUUGUAAGGUAGGUUGCAGUGUGUGUAUAUACACAACAUCAAGAGCAGGAAAAUGGACUCAUUAGGGAGGCAGGCAGUCAUUACCACUCACACUGUACUUCCAGGGAGACACCGAUUAUGAGAAGAGAAACUCAGCGCUGGGGAAGAAGUCACACAAAAAGAAGUGUUAAGAAUUUCCCUUUGAUGCUCUGAAGGCUAAAGAGUACCUGAUAAACUGCAAGUCUGUCUGUGCCCCAUAGCUGCACAGGCCUCUGUCUCAGCACAACUCAUCUUCACAAAUGCCAAUGUUGAGCUUGAUUUCUAGAAAUGUGCAAAUCAUGAAAAGGAAGUCCCACUGGACUAUGCAACAUUAAGCAUAUGGCUACACAAAGAUGAAAAAAACUGUGGCCAUCAGAAGUAAAUAUUGGUAAUAACACUCAUGAAAUUUCACACAUGUAGAUCAUUGUGAGAUAAGUAGAAAUACUUACAUAGAGCUUAGAUAGAGAAGUAGACUUUUUAAUACAAAUAUAAAUGGAGGCAUUUGUUAUGAAAAUGGUGGCCCUUGAAGUUGGCUUCCUGCUUUCACUUAAGAAGAACACCUUCAAUCAGAUGAUUUUUUCCUCUGAUAAGAAUGAAAAAUAAUCAAUCUAAACACAUUUUAUUAUGAAAGAUACUUGGAAGAAUUCUAUUGAUAUAAGCUAAUGCAAGAUGGGAAUUUGCUUAUUACAGUGUUUUGAAUGUCCUCUUCCAUUGGUCAUGUGCAAUUGGUAUAAACAAAGAUCCUGUGUAUGGUAGAGGGCCUAUAUUUGCAUCCUUUUGCAUACUUAGACAUUCUUUAGCAGGGCUUAUUUCUGUUUACUGACAGUAUUUCUCAGUCCUUUGUACAAUUACAAUAUGUAUAGCAGCAGCAGCAUUUGAGUGUGCAAUAAAGGUAGGUUCUUCUAUCAAUGCAGCCUGAAGAACAUAAAGAAUUCAUUAUACUGAUUUUGAUUCUGUGGGUGAAAUAGGUUUGCUCCAUGAACUUUCAUUGCACAGGACAAAAUGCUAUGCUCAUGAGACAUGCAAGCAGCUGAAGAGUCAAGAAAAGCUGUGUUGGUUUUAUUUAGGAAGUGCCUGGCUUCUCAUCUGCUUGGGAAAGGAGCAGGCCAUAUCACCAGUUGCCAAGUGCUCUAAUGCUGAGAAGAGUGUCAGCUGUGGUUACCCUGGGGAUUUUUGGCAGCAAUAAGCACUUUUCCUUGAGAAAAAUCAGCAUAGAUGCCACACAUUGGAAUUGGAAGAAUUGCUUUUAUUUUCUAUUUUCUUUAAAAAUCAAAUUUGCUUUUCCUUCCUUCCCAGCUGUUGCAGCUUCCUUGAUUUUUAGCUCAGAUGAUGGGAGUAACACAUGUUCACUGAAACCCAGAGGAGAGCUCCUUUCUUUCCUUCUGAUAUGAACUCAUUGAAGUCAAGAUACUGGCUAACCCGAACUAAAUAAUAUAUUCAGAAAGAGAUUUGUCCAGGAGGGGUGUUCAUGGGUGAAGACCACAGUGGUGGGGGUAAUCGAAGCAGUUUUUCAAGGAUAUCAGUGUCAAUCACAUGUAUUAGGAAACUUGAAUAUGCCAUCUCCAGGAUGUUUUUAGCUGAAAAAUCUUGGAGACCUAACCUGUUCCAUGGGGAAGUCUUUUUUUAUUUUCUAUAUUCAUCAUAGUUUAUAGCUGGGAACAAAAUGCAUAUAUAGAAAUUGAAUUGGCUGAAUUAGUAUGCAGUAGGUCGGGCAUUAAAUAUACCUGACUUUUUCUGUUAAUUCUCUCCCUUCCCUAUUAUCUCUUACCUCUCAAAUGGGAAGGUCACAUCUGUUUUCUCACCAAGUUUUACCUUCAUGUUAAAGAACCAAAGUUCCUUUAAGGUCAAUAUAGGGGAGGAUUAGAGUAGCUUUUAUUCUUGAUGUUCAGUUUUUCUACCAUCUUUUAUUUUACAUAAAGAAACUAAUCAUCUGACUUAGCUGGAGAUUUUUUUUUUUAAUUUCCCUCUCCUUUCUUAAGAACCUAUUGCCUACAAAUUACUUAUUCUCCUCUAGAUUUAUCUACUUUCAUUAUUGAAGGAGACUUUGCCAUCCUGUAAUUUCUUUUCUGUUGGCUUUUCUUAGGAUAGCAAUUUAAAAAGCAAUUAUUGACCAUUUCUUUAUGACUAUUUCAGGUACUUUACAGGUAUUUGUUAGAGUUCUCCAGAAGAAAAAACCCAACAGGAUGUAUAGAUAGACAGAUAGAUCUCUGCUGCUACUGCUGCUAAGUUGCUUCAGUCGUGUCUGACUCUGUGCGACCCCAUAGAUAGCAGCCCACCAGGCUCCCCUGUCCCUAGGAUUUUCCAGGCAAGAACACUGGAGUGGGUUGCCAUUUCCUUCUCCAAUGCAUGGAAGUGAAGAGUGAAAGUGAAGUCGCUCAGUCGUGUCCAACUUGUAGUGACCCCUUGGACUGCAGCUUACCAGGCUCCUCCAUCCAUGGGAUUUUCCAGGCAAGAGUACUGGAGUAGGGUGCCAUUGCCUUCUCCAAGAUAGAUCUCUAUAUGCAUCCAACUAACUGUAUCUUUACACACACACACACAUUUAUUACAAGGGAUUAGUUCAUACAGUUAUUACAGCUGACAAGUCCCAAGAUCUGAAAUUGUCAAGCUGGAGACCUAAGAGAACUGAUGAUGUGGUUGGAGUAUAGUUUCAAGGUUGAGAACUAGGAGAGCUGAUGGUAUAGUUCUAAUCAAAAGACUGGUAGGUUGAGCUCAGGAAGAGCCAAUGUCUCAGUUCAAGUCCAAAGGCAGGAAAAAAACUAAUAUGCCAGCUCAAAUAUAGGCAGGCAGGAGGAAUUCCCUGUUACUAUAGGCUUUCAACUGAUUGGAUGGGGCCACUCCUAAUAGGGAGAUUAAUCUGUUUUUACAGGAAGAUUAAUUUGUUUUACUCAGUCUAUAGAUUCUAAUGUUAAUAUCAUCAAAAAAUACCCUCACAGAUAUACCUAGCAUGUCAGUAUUCUUGCCUUGAAAACCCCAUGAACAGUAUGAAAAGAAAAAAAAAAUAUGACACUGAAAGAUGAACUUGCCAGGCCGGUAGGUGCCCAAUAUGCUAUUGGAGAAGAGUGGAGAAAUAACUCCAGAAAGAAUGAGGAGACAGAACCAAAGCAAAAACAACAUCCAGUUGUGGAUGUGACUGCUGAUGGAAGUAAGUCCAAUGUUGUUAAGAACAAUAGUGCAUAGGAACCUGGAAUGUUAGGUUCAUGAAUCAAAGUAAAUUAGAAGUGGUCAGACAGGAGAUGGCAAGAGUGAACAUCGACAUUUUAGGAAUCAGUGAACUAAAAUGGACAGGAAUGGGUGAAUUUAACUCAGAUGACCAUUAUAUCUACUACUGUGGGCAAGAAUACCUUAGAAGAAAUUGAGUAGCCCUCAUAGUCAACAAAAAAGUCUGUAAUGCAGUAUUUGGGUAUAAUCUCAAAAAUGACAGAAUGAUCUGUUUGUUUCCAAGGCAAAAUAUUCAGUAUCACAAUAAUCUAAGUCUAUGCCCCAACCAGUAAUGCUAAAGAAGCUGAGGUUGAAUGGCUCUAUGAAGACCUACAAGACCUUCUAGAACUAACACACCCCAAGGAUGUGCUUUUCAUUAUUGGGGAUUGAAAUGCAAAAGUAGAAAGUCAGGAGAUAUCUGGAGUAACAGGCAAAAUUGGCGUUGGAGUACAAAAUGAAGCAGGACAAAGACUAACAGAGUUUUGCCAAGAGAACGCACUGAUCAUAGCAAACACCCUCUUCCAAUAACACAAGAGAAGACUCUACACAUGGACAUCACCACAUGGUCAAUACGGUGAUUAUAUUCUUUGCAGCCAAAGAUGGAGAAGCUCUAUACAGACAGCAAAAACAAGACCAGGAGCUGACUGUGGCUCAGAUCAUGAACUCCUUAUUGCCAAAUUCAGAUUGAAAUUGAAGAAAGUAGGGAAAACCACUAGAUCAUUCAGGUAUGACCUAAAUCAAAGCCCUUAUGAUUAUAUAGUGGAAGUGACAAAUAGAUUCAAGGGAUUAGAUCCGGUAGAGUACCUGAAGAACUAUGGAUGGAGGUUCGUGACAUCAUCCAGGAGGCAAUAAUCAAGACCAUCCCCAAGAAAAAGAAAUGUAAAAGGCAAAAUGGUUGUCUGAGGUGGCCUUACAAAUAGCUGAGAAAAGAAGAGAAGCUAAAGGCAGAAGAGAAAAGGAACAAGAUACCCAUUUGACUCAGAGUUCCAAAGAAUAGCAGGGAGAGAUAAGAAAGCCUUCCUCAGUGAUCAAUGCAAAGAAAUAGAGGAAAACAAUAGAAUGGGAAAGACUAGAGAUCUCUUCAAGAAAAUUAGAGAUACAAAGGGAACAUUUCAUGCAAAUAUGGGCACAAUAAAGGACAGAAAUGGUGUGGACCUAACAAAAGCAGAAGAUAUUAAGAAGAGGUAGCAAGAAUACAUAGAAGAACUAUAAAAAAAAAUCCUCAUGACUGAGAUAACCACGAUGAUAUGACCACUCACCUAAAGUCAUACAUCCUAGAAUGUGAAGUCAAGUGGGCCUUAGAAAGCAUCACUAUGAACA